GCCAACCUGGGUUAGUGAUUUGAGUGCUGGACUAUGACUCUGGAGACCAGGGUUCAAUUCCCAGCUUGGCC
rnacentral:tRNA from 1 species